rnacentral:rRNA from 1 species
GUUAAUAAUUUAGGUUAAUUAAAAUAUUAAUAAUAAAAAAAAAUUUAAAGUAUAUUAAAGAAAAAAAAAUAAUUUUAUAGUAAAAUAGUAUAGUAAUAGAAAGAUGAAAUAUAUUGAAAAUUGAAUUAAUAAAAAGUAAAUUUAAUUUAUUGUAUCUUGUGUAUCAGAGAAUAUUAAAAAAUUUUUAUUUAAAAAUAAAUUUUUCGAAAUUUAAAGAGUUAAUUGAAUAUUUUAGUUAUUGUUAAAAAAAUAUUAAAAAUAUUUAAUUAGAAAUGAAAUGUUAAUCGUUUUAAAUGAUAUCUAAUUUUUUAAGAAAUAAAUUUAAUUUAGUUAUUUUAAAGAAAAUUGUUUUUUGAUUAAAUAAUUUUUAUUUUAAAUAAUUAUAUUAUAGGGGAUAAGCUUUAUAAUAAAAUUUUAUAUUUAAUUAAUGAUACUUAAAAAAUAUAAGAAUAAAAUUAUUUAUUAUUUUUAUUUUUUUAUAAAAAAUUUUUUAUAAAAUCAAUUUUAAUAUAUAAAAAUUAAUGAAUAAUUUAUUAAAAUUUUUAUUUAAAUUUAAAAAAUAAAGUAAUAAUGAUAUUAUUAGUAUAUAUUUAAUAAAUUUUUAAGUGUAAUUAAAUGUUUAGUUAAAUUUAAGAAUUCGGCAAAAAUUUAUAUUCGCUUGUUUAACAAAAACAUGUCUUUUUGGUUAAUAAUUUAAAGUCUAAUCUGCCCACUGAAUUAAAUUUUAAAGGGCUGCGGUAAUUUAACCGUACAAAGGUAGCAUAAUAAAUAGUUUUUUAAUUGAAGACUGGAAUGAAUGAUUGGACGAAAUAUAAGCUGUUUUAAUUUAAUUAAAAUAAAAUUUAAUUUUUUAGUUAAAAAGCUAUAAUAAUUUUAAAAGACGAGAAGACCCUAUAAAUCUUUAUAGGGAUAAUUUUAAAUAUAAUUUUUUAAUAUUUAUAUUUAUAAGAUUAAACUUAUUUUAUUGGGGUGAUAUAAAAAUUUACAGAACUUUUUAUUUAUAAUUAUUUUAAUUAAAAGAAAAUAAAAAUUGAUUUAUUUUAAUAAUUUAAAGAAUAAGAUACUUUAGGGAUAACAGCGUAAUUUUAAUUUUAAGUUCUUAUUAAAAUUAAAGAUUGCGACCUCGAUGUUGGAUUAAAAUUUAAUUUAAAUGUAACCGUUUAAAAAUUUAGUCUGUUCGACUAUUAAAAUUUUACAUGAUCUGAGUUCAAACCGGUGUGAGCCAGGUUGGUUUCUAUCUUUAAUUAAGAAAAAAUUUUUUAGUACGAAAGGAUUAAAAAUUUUAAAUAAUUUUAAAAUAAAUGAAUUAAUUUAAUUUUAUUUAA